rnacentral:rRNA from 1 species
CCUACGGGUGGCUGCAGUCGAGAAUCAUUCACAAUGGGGGAAACCCUGAUGGUGCGACGCCGCGUGGGGGAAUGAAGGUCUUCGGAUUGUAAACACCUGUCAUGUGGGGGCAAAUUAAAAAGAUAGUAACCCAAGCGGAAGAGACGGCUAACUCUGUGCCAGCCGCCGAGGUAAUAAAGAGGACUCACGCGUUGUUCGGAAUCACAGGGCGUAAGGCGCUCGUAGGCGGUAUGUCAAGUCACGGGUGAAAUCCCCGGGCUCAACGUGGGAACUGCCUUUGAAACUGGCAAACUCGAGUGUGUGAGAGGAUAGUAGAAUUCCAGGUGUAGGGGUGAAAUCCGUAGAGAUCUGGAGGAACAUCAGUGGCGAAGGCGACCAUCUGGCACAUAACUGACGCUGAGGUGCGAAAGCGUGGGUAGCAAACAGGAUUAGAUACCCGAGUAGUC